UACGUAGGGGGCGAGCGUUGUCCGGAUUUAUUGGGCGUAAAGAGCUCGUAGGCGGUUUGGUAAGUCGGAUGUGAAAUCUCCAGGCUCAACCCUGGAGGGGUCAUUCGAGACUGCUAUGACUAGAGUUCGGUAGAGGAGUGUGGAAUUCCUGGUGGAGCGGUGAAAUGCGCAGAUAUCAGGAGGAACACCCGUAGCGAAGGCGGCACUCUGGGCCGAUACUGACGCUGAGGAGCGAAAGCGUGGGGAGCGAACAGG
rnacentral:rRNA from 1 species